CCUACGGGGGCUGCAGUGGGGAAUAUUGGGCAAUGGGCGCAAGCCUGACCCAGCAACGCCGCGUGAGGGAAGAAGGCUUUCGGGUUGUAAACCUCUGUCCUUGGUGACGAAAAAAAUGACGGUAGCCAAGGAGGAAGCCCCGGCUAACUACGUGCCAGCAGCCGCGGUAAUACGUAGGGGGCGAGCGUUGUCCGGAAUUACUGGGCGUAAAGGGUGCGUAGGUGGCCUUUUAAGGUGGAUGUGAAAUCCCCGGGCUUAACUUGGGUGGUGCAUCUAAUACUGGAUGGCUAGAGUGCAGGAGAGGGAAGCGGAAUUCCUAGUGUAGCGGUGAAAUGCGUAGAUAUUAGGAGGAACACCAGUGGCGAAGGCGGCUUUCUGGACUGUAACUGACACUGAGGCACGAAAGCGUGGGGAGCAAACA
rnacentral:rRNA from 1 species